rnacentral:rRNA from 1 species
UACGUAGGGUGCAAGCGUUAAUCGGAAUUACUGGGCGUAAAGCGUGCGCAGGCGGUUUUGUAAGUCUGUCGUGAAAUCCUCGGGCUCAACCUGAGAAUUGCGAUGGAGACUGCAAGGCUAGAAUCUGGCAGAGGGGGGUAGAAUUCCACGUGUAGCAGUGAAAUGCGUAGAGAUGUGGAGGAGCACCGAUGGCGAAGGCAGCCCCCUGGGUCAAGAUUGACGCUCAUGCACGAAAGCGUGGGGAGCAAACAGG